UGCAAGUCGAACGGCAGCAUGAUCUAGCUUGCUAGAUUGAUGGCGAGUGGCGAACGGGUGAGUAAUACAUCGGAACGUGCCCUGUAGUGGGGGAUAACUAGUCGAAAGAUUAGCUAAUACCGCAUACGACCUGAGGGUGAAAGUGGGGGACCGCAAGGCCUCAUGCUAUAGGAGCGGCCGAUGUCUGAUUAGCUAGUUGGUGGGGUAAAGGCCCACCAAGGCGACGAUCAGUAGCUGGUCUGAGAGGACGAUCAGCCACACUGGGACUGAGACACGGCCCAGACUCCUACGGGAGGCAGCAGUGGGGAAUUUUGGACAAUGGGGGCAACCCUGAUCCAGCAAUGCCGCGUGUGUGAAGAAGGCCUUCGGGUUGUAAAGCACUUUUGUCCGGAAAGAAAUCGCACUUACUAAUAUUAGGUGUGGAUGACGGUACCGGAAGAAUAAGGACCGGCUAACUUCGUGCCAGCAGCCGCGGUAAUACGUAGGGUCCAAGCGUUAAUCGGAAUUACUGGGCGUAAAGCGUGCGCAGGCGGUUGUGCAAGACCGAUGUGAAAUCCCCGGGCUUAACCUGGGAACUGCAUUGGUGACUGCACGGCUAGAGUGUGUCAGAGGGGGGUAGAAUUCCACGUGUAGCAGUGAAAUGUGUAGAGAUGUGGAGGAAUACCGAUGGCGAAGGCAGCCCCCUGGGAUAACACUGACGCUCAUGCACGAAAGCGUGGGGAGCAAACAGGAUUAGAUACCCUGGUAGUCCACGCCCUAAACGAUGUCAACUAGUUGUUGGGGAUUCAUUUCCUUAGUAACGUAGCUAACGCGUGAAGUUGACCGCCUGGGGAGUACGGUCGCAAGAUUAAAACUCAAAGGAAUUGACGGGGACCCGCACAAGCGGUGGAUGAUGUGGAUUAAUUCGAUGCAACGCGAAAAACCUUACCUACCCUUGACAUGCCACUAACGAAGCAGAGAUGCAUUAGGUGCUCGAAAGA
rnacentral:rRNA from 1 species